rnacentral:rRNA from 2 species
UACGGAGGAUCCAAGCGUUAUCCGGAUUUAUUGGGUUUAAAGGGUGCGUAGGCGGACCCGUUAGUCAGUGGUGAAAGUUUGCAGCUCAACUGUAAAAUUGCCAUUGAAACUGCGGGUCUUGAGUGUAAAUGAGGUAGGCGGAAUGUGUUGUGUAGCGGUGAAAUGCUUAGAUAUAACACAGAACACCAAUUGCGAAGGCAGCUUACUGGGAUACAACUGACGCUGAGGCACGAAAGCGUGGGGAUCAAACAGG